CGGGACGUAGCGCAGCCUGGUAGCGCGCCUGCUUUGGGAGCAGGAGGCCGGCGGUUCGAAUCCGCCCGUCCCGACUA
rnacentral:tRNA from 1 species